AGUGAAUCUAUCAAGAAUACUAAAAUAUCUUGCCUCAAAAUUCUUUGCACUGACAACCUAAAGAAAGAGUUCUAGCAUAGUGUACAUAAUGCAAGACAGCUAAGGUUCUUCAAGGAAUAAAUCAUAUUUCAUUUUCAGAUAUAGCAAAACAAAUAACUGCAUAACCUAUGCAAAACAAACAAACAAAAAGAGAAUUAGUUAUAUUUAUGUUAAAAAAAACCCUAAGAAACAAUUAUUCAAAGUAGCAACAAAAAUAUUACUGAGACUGAUCCCAUUGGUAUCAUUUUAGUUUUCUUGAUCAUGGGAUAGUUUGUGCGCCACCAGGCCAACUGAAACAGAUAGAGUUCAUCUGUGUAAAACGAGGAAAAAUAUCCUAACCCAUGAGUUGUAAGGGUUGAUUGUGAAAGCUUUUAACUAGGUUUGAAGGAAAAGGAUAAAAAAAUUCUCACUAGAGAUGAGCCUGGGGUGACUUGCCUGUGUUGGAGUGGCACGGACAGCCCAGCUGAAGUGCAUCUGCACCAAUGCACCCAGCAUGGGUAACAAACAAUUGGGUAACAAGCCAGUGGCAGCAGGAAGCUGUGAUGUGGUUAUCACCAUGGGAAUGUGGUGGGAUGACUGGAGUGCUGCAGUGGAGGGCUACAAGCUCCUCAGAAGGGACAGGAUAUGAGGAGGGCAACAAAACUGGUAAAAAGCUCUAAAGAGUAAGUCCUCCUCCUUGUAUGAGGAGCUGAGGGAGUUGAGUGAGUUGAGUCUGCUGGAGAUCUUCUUGCUCUCUAAAACAACCUAAAAGAGGGAUGCAGCAGAAAUCUCCAAGAACAGCAGUUUGAGCUAACAAAACAAUCUGCCCAUGGAAACACUGAAAGCUUCAUUUCAACUAAGUGUUUGUUUUCUGAUUAUUUCAAACUCAUCCUCAUUAUCUGCCUGCUCAUUGGAAAGGAAACAGCUGAUUCUUCAAGCAUGUUGACAGAUGUCUACUUUGAAAUACCUGCUGGGUGGCCAACACAUCAGUGAGACGUUAAAUCAUGUUGUCAUCUGGAGAGAAGCACUAAGCUGCUAAACUAGCUGUGAACACUGGCUGCUUAGUGACCUUUGCAUAGAAAUGGUGCUUCUACCCAUAAACAUUUUAAGGUCAUGGGAUUUAUUCCAGUUCCUCACAAAGCCUGACAUUUUGCAAAAGCCAGGAGCAACUCUGUACUGACUUUUUACCUAGGAAAUAUCUCCCUUUGGUAUUCAUUAGGAUGGGUCAAUCUAAUCCAGGCUGUAGGGCCAUUAGACCUGAUAAAAUUUCAGAGAAAAAGGAUUUCUAGUGGUGCAGAUGGUGGAGUCAUACCAAUAUUUUUUCCCUUGCUUUGAUUUAUAUUGCUGCUCAUGAGAAUUUGUACACUGAAUCCUUUUAAAAUUAAGUUUCUCCAAAAAGAUGGUGCAUGGAAAAGUAACAGCUUGUCCUCCACUCCCUAGUGCUUUGGUCUCCCACGCUGGGGAGUAGCAUGUUUCACUUGCAAGAAAUUUGUUCACAAUCAAAUUUGAUGCUACAGAAGGGCCUGUAUGUAGCCAUGCCACUCUGUCAAGCUCUUUCCCAUCUGCAGUUUGUGUAAAUUCUCUCCAGCUUGUGCUUCAGGUUUUUGGGAAAACUACAGUUUCCUGAUAUGUUUAGAUUUGAAUUCGGAUGCAUUAGACCAUUAGUACUUUACUUAUUUUAUGACAGAAAUGGCAACUUUGCUUAAGACCCCAAAGACAGCUUAAAAAAAUAUGAGUUGUCCAUGAACUUGUGGCAGCAGCUCUGUGGCUGCCCUGUGGGUGAGGCCACCCCACCCCGCGGUACAGGGAGGGAAGGAGCCAGCAGUGGCUGUCCGUAGACGGAUCGUUCCCACCUGGCUGCAGCAGAGAGAGGGGUGGGGCUGGUAUGUGUCACGAUCUGCUCAUACAAGCAAGGGUCGUGAUGGUUUGUUUUACCGGUCUCAGAGUGCAAAACACAAAACAGUGGGGAUUGCAGUGUUAAUCAAAACAAAUGCACCUCUAUUGAAUGACCACAGCAAAUGUGAUAGAGGGAUUAAGGGAGAGAAAAAAGAUAGAGAAAGGGGGAGAGAGAAGGAGAGGGGGUUAUAGCUACCAAAUGUAGAGACAAAGUCCUUUGCAGUCCGGCCAAGGAUCUGCCGUUACAUUGGGAAGAUCUUGAAGUCCUGGUUAUCUCAGGGUUCUACUAUAGUCCAUUGCUGAGGGGAUGGAAACAGACCUUGAAGUAAGUCUAUUGAAAUUGCUGAGGGAAAAAAAAAUACAGUAAAUAAUAGAUGUAACAGGCAGUCCACGUUCUCCACAGUAGGUGAGGACCAUUGUCUUCUUGGUCCAAUGGCCAUACCUGCAGGUAAAUAUCUCGCUUUGGUCAGGUUGGUUCCCCCACACACCUCCCCCAUGUUAGGGGUUUCAUUCUCAGUCCUUGGAAGGGGGGAGCUACCCUGUAUAGAGGUCUCAUGUCUCAGUUCUUGAGAGAGAGGCUUCUUCCAUCUAAGUCCGACUGUCACAGUGGUUAAAAAGCAGAUGAGGGGGUCUUCCAGGGGGGACCACCAAAGGUCACCCCAGAAAAGUCCAGCCAGGCCAAGAGGUGGGGAAAUUCACAAGCUAUUGGAGCAGGAACUAUGAAGCAGGUGCAAGCAUUCAGGGCAAGUCGCCCCCGCCUUUGCUAGAUGUUCCAUGGCAGCAAACACACCUGCAAACAAUAGCUUGGCAAACCAGCAGGGUUCUCAGGAUCUUGGUGAGCAACCAUCAGAAUUCCGACCAGGGUCUUUUCAGUAGUCCCAGUUUCUGUCCUUUCAUGACGAUCAUGAGGCAGAUGAGAAAAACUUAAGACAGAGACUUACAGCAUGCAAGGCCAGCUGGUUUCUGGAAUGGUGAACACCGGCCUUGGCCAUCAGAGUUGUGCUGACUGUGACAAAGGCUCGCCAGCUGCUAUGUGCCACCUGUGCAGGGUGGAGGCACUCCUUCGAGUUGGACUGGGACAUGCCUACUGAGGUGGACUGGCUUUCCCUUAGGGUUCAGCCCCUUAUUCCUUUAUAAAGAAUCCCCCAGAUUGGUUGUAGUUGAGGCACACUCGCAUCUCCCCUUGUACGUUCCUCACAGAGACAAAAACCCAAUGAGGCCGAGGCCCACGAAUCCAUGGGGAAACCAUGAAUUUUGGCCCAACUUAAAAAGCCUGUAAAGAGCAUAUUCUGACACAGAAAGUCCCUUAUGACGAACAAUGUCCCCACACUGUAAGGGUUAUAUGUUCUGGAAUAGAAAUUCAAAUGCCCAUUUUUCAGGUACCUUUUCCUUACUGCAAGCCUACCCCAGGUUGCAGGCAGAGCUAUUGUUGGGAAAUCUGUUCCCCAGCCCACCUCCUAGGCUAUGAAGGCAAAAAUGUGGUCCCAAGGGACAGAUCUUCUCCAGGAAGACACGGGGAAAGGUCACAUUACCUCUCUGC